rnacentral:rRNA from 1 species
CUAAAAGCUCCGUAGCCGGCUCUGUAAGUUUUCGGUUAAAUCUGCACGCUUAACGGGUUGAAUGCUGCGAAUACUGCCAAACUUGGGACCGGGAGAGGUAGACGGUACUCGGUGGGAAGGGGUAAAUGCUUUGAUCUAUCGAUGACCACCUGUGGCGAAGGCGGUCUACUAGAACACGUCCGACGGUGAGGGACGAAAGCUGGGGGAGCAAACCGGAUUAGAUACCCGGGUAGUCCUAGGUGUAAACUAUGUGGACUUGUGAUGCAUUGUGCUUGUGGCCAAUCUCGUGCCCGAAGGAAACCGUUAAGUUUGCUGCCUGGGAAGUACGUACCGCAAGUAUUGAA